rnacentral:tRNA from 1 species
GGGCCCGUAGCUCAGUUGGUCAGAGCACCUGCUUUGCAAGCAGGGGGUCGCUGGUUCGACUCCAGUCGGGUCCACCA